rnacentral:rRNA from 1 species
GAGAGAGAGACAUGCGCGCAUAUCAAUAAGCGGAGGAAAAGAAACUAACAAGGAUUCCCUUAGUAACGGCGAGUGAAGCGGGAAGAGCUCAAAUUUGAAAUCUUCAAGGUUUUACCUUGACGAAUUGUAGUUUAAAGAAGUGUUUUUCUGCUGAAGUUUUGGUAAAAGUUCUUUGGAAUAGGACAUCAUAGAGGGUGAGAAUCCCGUAUUUGACCAUUAUUUUCAGCUUUGUGAUACACUUUCAAAGAGUCGGAUUGUUUGGGAAUGCAGUCCAAAAUGGGUGGUAAAUUUCAUCUAAAGCUAAAUAUUGGCAGAGAGACCGAUAGCGAACAAGUACCGUGAGGGAAAGAUGAAAAGAACUUUGAAAAGAGAGUUAAACAGUACGUGAAAUUGUCAAAAGGGAAGCGUUUGACACCAGUGUUGUUUUCUCGAAAAUCAAUUAAAAAUGGCUCGAUUUUGUAUUGCUUGAGACCUUAAAAGCUCACUGUACAUUUUUCGUGUCUUUUUUAAUGCACUUUUCGUUUAACAAGUCAACAUCAGUUUCUUUUGUUGUAAAAGGGUCAUUGGAAGGUGGCUUUCUUUUCGGAGAAAGUGUUUAUAGCCUUUGGCCUCUGCAAUCGGAGAGACUGAGGUCUGCAGCGUAGACUCUUCGGGGUUAGAUACAUUUGUGCUAAGUUAUAGCUUUUUACAGACAACUUGUUGACUAUAAUUAGUCUUGUAGCUUACUCGCUUAUGCUAUUUUACCUACGCUUAGGAUGUUGAGUCGUAGAGCACGCAG